rnacentral:rRNA from 1 species
UGCAGUCGAACGAGACCUUCGGGUCUAGUGGCGCACGGGUGAGUAACGCGUGGAAACCUACCAUUCUGUACGGAAUAACGAUUGGAAACGAUCGCUAAUACCGUAUACGCCCUGUGGGGGAAAGGUCCGCCGCAGAAUGAGGGGUCCGCGUCCGAUUAGCUUGUUGGUGGGGUAAAAGCCUACCAAGGCGAUGAUCGGUAGCUGGUCUGAGAGGAUGAUCAGCCACACUGGGACUGAGACACGGCCCAGACUCCUACGGGAGGCAGCAGUGGGGAAUAUUGGACAAUGGGGGCAACCCUGAUCCAGCAAUGCCGCGUGUGUGAAGAAGGCCUUAGGGUUGUAAAGCACUUUCAAUGGUGAAGAUGAUGACGGUAGCCGUAAAAAGAAGCCCCGGCUAACUUCGUGCCAGCAGCCGCGGUAAUACGAAGGGGGCGAGCGUUGUUCGGAAUUACUGGGCGUAAAGGGCGCGCAGGCGGCCAAUCCAGUCAGGUGUGAAAGCCCCGGGCUUAACCUGGGAACUGCACUUGAUACUGAUUGGCU